GGCGGCGUGCUAUACUGCAGUCGAGCGAACUGAUUAGAAGCUUGCUUCUAUGACGUUAGCGGCGGACGGGUGAGUAACACGUGGGCAACCUGCCUGUAAGACUGGGAUAACUUCGGGAAACCGAAGCUAAUACCGGAUAGGAUCUUCUCCUUCAUGGGAGAUGAUUGAAAGAUGGUUUCGGCUAUCACUUACAGAUGGGCCCGCGGUGCAUUAGCUAGUUGGUGAGGUAACGGCUCACCAAGGCAACGAUGCAUAGCCCACCCUAAAAGGGUGAUCGGCCACACUGGGACUGAGACACGGCCCAGACUCCUACGGGAGGCAACUUAGGGAAUCUUCCGCAAUGGACGCAAGUCUUACAGAACAACGCCUCGCGUGUGUUGUAAGCGCUUGGGGCCAUAUAACUCUUUUGUUGGGAA
rnacentral:rRNA from 2 species